rnacentral:rRNA from 1 species
UACGUAGGGGGCUAGCGUUGCUCGGAAUGACUGGGCGUAAAGGGCGCGUAGGCGGAGUGCUUUGUCGGGCGUGAAAUUCCAGGGCUCAACCUUGGGGCUGCGUUCGAGACGGGCAUUCUAGAGUUCGGAAGAGGGUCGUGGAAUUCCCAGUGUAGAGGUGAAAUUCGUAGAUAUUGGGAAGAACACCGGUGGCGAAGGCGGCGACCUGGUCCGAGACUGACGCUGAGGCGCGAAAGCGUGGGGAGCAAACAGG